UGUAAAAGGUUCUUUGUGACCGCUCAAUGCAGUGGCAGCAGCAGCAGCGCGAUGGGGGGAGGGAUGCUAACAGAUAAAUGGGAAGCAAAUGCAUUCAGAUCAAUACUGAGCCGAGAGAGGGCGAGUGGGGUUGAGAAGAGAGAGUGGAAGGUGGAACAGGGAAGCGAAGGAGGCGAACAGGAAAUCCCCCGUGAGGAGUUAACGAGGAGCUGACGACUGAACAGACACAACAGAGGAGCGAGGGAGGGAGGAUGUGACCCCGCCGACCCCCACUGACCAAAGAACAGCCGGCAACGGCAGGUUUUACUUCCACUAUAUGGACUCCUCAACCCUUGUGAAAGUUUUGCUGCGAGCAAAAGUUUGCGUGUUCUCUUCAAACAGACAGCCUGCUUCUUUACACCUUCAUCUUUAUUUUCCGUUCCUUCUUCACACCACCCAUCCUCCUCCUCCUCCUCCUCCUCCUCUUCCUCUUCCUCCUCCCUGUCUGGCACCACAGAGCUGGCACACUCGGGGGAGUCGCAGUGUGACGUGGGCACCGGUGACACCUCCGACACCAUUGCAGAGCUUGUGUAUCACCGGAGAGUGUAAUGGAGAGCCUCGUGAACGCCAUCAAUAUGGUGCCAGAGGAGAUGUAGUGACACUUUAAACCGCUGUCAAUAAACCUUUUACGCUUCCCGCACA